AAAGUUCAAUACGGAGAAGAUGUGGCGAGUCACUCUGGCCCCGAGUCAUGCGGCGUGCACUGCGAAGUGCACGUCGAAGCGUUGACAGGGGAAACCGACAGGCCAGACAUUGAGCCGCGAAAUAAUUACUCCGGGAUGCCGACGCUGUUAAGCGAAGCGGAAGGCAACAUGGCACACGGCGUCAAUCGCAAGUCGUGUGCUGAUCUCGCGCGGUCGGAGACCC
rfam:Candidatus Burkholderia verschuerenii strain TZHbot4 BVERctg300, whole genome shotgun sequence.